UCAGUCUUGUCCCAGAACGCACUUCGAUAAGAACCUUUAACUGUGGCUCCAGAGGUUGUACUUGACUUGAGGUUCCGCUGUUUCGAAGUCUAACUCCUCGGAACUUUUCUGACAGUUAGUAAAAUCAAACUCUUGAACUGCAGUACGGGAGGUUUUAGUUUGUUUUAUUUCGUCUUUUGAAAGAAAAGUGACGAAUGAGAAUUCAUGGUCAUGUAAACGAGAAGAAUUGAUGUAAAGAAAGAAAAACAGUGCACUGUACCCGCCAGUUGGAACAUUUGUGUUAAUUAUAGCGUAGAGCGAACUACUAGCUACGAAAAUGCAGUGCCAGGUAUCAGCUGACCAGGUCCUCCUCGGCGCGAUGGCACCCGAUGCCACUGAGACCACGGAGCCAACAGGCCCCAAAUGCGAGUCUGAGAAGAAAUUAGUGGAACUGAAGCUGAAACAUGGAUGGCCAUUCCCUGAUAUGACGGACCCUCCGUUGUCCUUCCGAAUUAAAAGCAGCUUCAUAAUUCCCAUGGUCGGGACUUUCAGCAAAAUUCUUUUGAAAUGGUGUAAUAAGGUGAAUGGCCACAACAUUCAACAACUUCGAAACAUGGUAGCAAAUCGGCCUGCAGGCACACCGCUCCUCACAGUAUCAAACCAUUAUUCCUGCCUCGAUGAUCCUGCGCUAUGGGGUUUGUUAAGAUGGCGUGAUCUGUGGAAUGCACGGAGAAUGAGGUGGUCCCCAGCAGCACACGACAUAGCCUUCACACGAAAAAUAUACAGCUGGUUCUUCAGUGCUGGGAAAUGUGUGCCAAUUAUUCGAGGCCUGGGAGUGUACCAGGAGGCAAUGGACUUCCUGAUUGAACGUCUGAAGGAGGGCCAGUGGGUACAUAUAUUCCCUGAGGGCAAGGUGAACAUGAGUCUGGAGAGGAUGCGGCUCAAAUGGGGUGUGGGCCGGCUGGUGUACGAGUCACCCGUGUGUCCAAUCGUCCUGCCCUUCUACCACAUCGGUAUGGAUGAAAUUCUGCCCAACCGCAAGCCCUACAUCCCCAGGGUCGGGAAGCUGGUGACAGUGGUGGUCGGAGAACCCAUGGACUUCAAAGACCUAGUGUCGGAGAUGAAGGCAAAGCAGGAGGACCCGACUACGGCGCGGAAGGUGAUCACCGACAGGAUCCAGGAGGAACUGGGAAAGCUGCGAGACCAGGCAGAGGAGCUCCAUGAGAAGAUGAAGAGGGAGAGGAACUUAUAACGCAAGUCCAAAGGCAUAAAUGCAGCAAUUAUCCUAAUCCUUCCACUCGAUAUUUUGUACAUUUUUUUCCUCGGUGGAGAAGUAUCGAAUUGUAAAACUGAUGAAGAAUUCAUUUUGAAUUUUUGUCAUUUUUCAGUAUUGGCCUUAUUAAAUUUUUUUAGAUGAAGUCAAUGGAUAUACAUUUAUAAGUAUUGAUAGUGUUAGCUUUUUUCCACGAAUUUUAAAAAUGUAUGGAGAUAACCUGGAAAACUUUGAAAUUGAUUUUUCUGGAUAUUUAUUAUGUAUAUAGUACUUUUAUUUUGAUUAGAAUGUUUGCAAAUAUUUAAAAAAUUAUAUGUAGUUGCAGGAUUGGAAAAUCUGGUAGUUUUACGCCACAUGAACUGACCUGUAUGUACCAAUUGGCUGAGUGACAUGUAACUUAAAACCUGAAUUUUCCUUUGGUGUUAUAUUGCAAUGGUACAUAAAGAUGAAGUGUUCAAGACUUGCAUAAGGUUUAGCAUGUUGGUGAGUUUGCACAACUACAUUUUAUUUUUUGUUAGUAAGCUAUAUUUCUAUGUAUGUUUAUUGAGUGUGAAGCAGAAUACUGAAUUCAACAUGCCAAAAUGAAGUGUUUUUUCUCUUGCUUCCCAUUGAUGAUAAUGUCAUAGCUUUAUGUGUUGAUGUUGAUGAAGAUGAUUUAUUUAUUUUUUUAUUUUUUCUCUUUUUUUAUCUCUCUCUUUUUAAUUUUUUCAGAGAUACUGGUGCAAAAAGUGUUCAUGUUAAAUGCAGGUUUUUGCAUUUGUCCUAAUAGAUGUGUGCUCACUACAAAACUUUCCAAUUUUGUGAACAAAACUUCCAUAAAGAUUGGGGUCUGUGAGGUAUCAGUGCAUCAUGUUCAGGAGAAGCAGACAAGAAUCUUGUUUAUAUUUUAUAUUAUUUAUAUUUUAUCAGUUGUAUUUCACAAAUAUCUCUAAUUAUAUUCCCUUUCCCCCCACUGCAAAUAGGAGAGAUUAGAUAUAUAUAUUGCGGCUUCACACUCUUGCAAAUACUAUGAAAAUUUGAAUGUACACAAACACAAAUUAAAGGAAAAUAUGGCAUAAGGCUGUCUCUGGCAAGUAAAUGAUUAAAUUAAAAAGAUAGUAUCAUGACAAAGCAAACACUGUCAGGUAUUUAUGUAAAUAAAUAUUGCCCCUGAAAAAUUAUGUAUAUGCUGUUACCUGUUAUUUUGCAACUUUCUGAUAGCUGCUCUUAUUGCUUUAUUUUCUAAUUAACUAUUUUUCUAUCACUGUUUCCUAGUUGUCUAGUUUCCCAUUGGUUUAAUUCAAAGGCUUUUCAUAAGCAGGAGUUUUUAGUUCAGGGUUGUUACAAGCCAUCAUUUAUUUUUCUCUUUUUUCCAAAAUGAAUUUACUUGUUUCACAGCUACAUUCUCCAUUCAAAAUGCACAGAGACAAGUAUUAACAAUAGUAAUGCUAAAUGUCUUUGUUUAGUCAAGUACUGUAGAGUACUGCAAGGCAUUACAGAAAAGUGUAGAUUCUGCUCUGUAUUUUUUUGUUCUGUGCAUGUUUCAUCCCUGUAACACCAUUGGGUCAUAUGCUUUGUACCUCAGAUGCUGAAGAUAUCACAUUUUGGUGCAGAGCUCAGAAAUGUGAUUAUUUUUACUUUUUUACCUUUUGAUACUAGAUUGUCAAUAAAUAAAUAUAUACAUAAUCAACUGGACCAAUUAGGAAAUCAUAUAAAAGGGUUAACUUGUAUAGAUGAAGAGAACUAGAGAUGAAACUUAUACCAAAUGUUAGUAAGAAAAAUCAGACUUGCAUUGUUUGUUUGAACAAGGAGAGAAUCUUAACAUGUUUCAAACUGAAUCCCAUUAGAUAUAUGAUAAUCUAUUUUCAAAUCCAGUAAUGUAGAAAAUAUAACAUUCUCUUGAAAAGGAAUCUGAAAUAACAAAUAAUAAAUAUAGUUGUUAGUAUAGCUAGGCCUGCCAUCAUAACCUGUGUAACAAUGUUUUUGAUUAUGUACAAUCUAAACCUCUUUCAGAGUAAUGGGUUAUCUCUGUGUUGACUAGCAAUAUAUGUGUUUAGGGUAGCUGUCAGUGUCAGCUGAACUAAUAUCCUUUGAAACCCUGCAGCAAUUAUUAUUAGUGUGACUAUAUUUGUUACUGGCUUUUUAGUUCUGUAGUUUAUGAGUCGGGCUUACCUUAUACCGGUAAUGUACACCUCUGGUAACGUGGAUGGUAGUUACAGUGUCAGAUAAAAUGAUAUACUUCCUAUUGUUGUAAAAAUAGUACCUUGAAGAUGAGAUGGAAUUAUUAUAGUCAACAUUAUAAUGGUAUAUCAUAGUGCAGCAAAUUUGUUAGAUGAAUUGUAAAUGCAAUAGAUAUUUACUUUACUGGUGAUGUCAGAUUUGUACUAAUGAAUUGUACCUCUUUAUCAGUUACAUAUAAAGUUUUACCCCAGUGAUUUAUUACUAAUUUUAUUUUAUUAUAGAACAAAUAAUAUAGGUUUAUGGCAUCCUAGAGAUUGACAGAAGUAUUAGAAAUGUUUGUAUAUUAAUGGAAUGUUCAAGGCUUUGUUAAACAAUGACCAGUCUUUUACUUCUCUAAGAUUCAAAAUUACAAUCUUUUGUUUCUUUAUAGUAUCUUCUUAUCUCUAAUUCAUUUUGAUAUAUGUUGUGUUUGCUUGAGGAAAUAUUUACUGAACAAGAGAUUAUUUUCAUGACAAUAGAGCAGGGGUUUAUGAUAUGGACUAGUAUGUACAGGCCACUUAUUAUAACUGUAUUUUAUGUUAUGAUGUCCGAUAAAAGAAUCAUACUAAGGAUAUCUUUUGCACAAUGAAUUGAUAUGCAUCUGAAUGCAAAAAUGACAUAGUACAAACUUGGAGGGUGAAGUUUAUUAUUCAGCUAUGACUGGCAUAUCAUUGGAAGGUAGAUGUGUUAAACAAAAUUCCUUGGAAAGUUUGCUACUCUUGUUUGAUUAGUUAGUAAAGGUAUGAAACUAACUUAAUUUGAUAUGGAUUUUCCUUUUCUUGCUGGUGUAUGUAAGAUGUCAGUGUUUGGUUAUCUCUGAAGAAAAGUAUAAAUGACAUGAAGUUGAAUUUCUUUCAUUAAAUUUUUAAAUUAUUUAUUUUUUACUGUAUGUAUUUCAUUUUCACUCCUUAAGAUGUAUUUCAGUGUUGAUAUGCAAUAUAUCUGAAUAAUUUUGCAUAGUGUUGGUAUUAUUUUAGGUAUUAUAAACAGGUAUUUCAUUGAGUGACAAAACUGAAUCCCUAUUUCCUCUAUUUGUUAAUAAAUAUGAAUCCAAUUUUUUAUUUCACUAUUUCAAAUAACUGAGACAGAUCUUUGGAAUACUAUUUUCAUUUUUCUUUCACACUAACAGACACUGAUAUGCUGAAACAUGAGCAAGAAAGAGAAGUCUGAUCAUUGCCCCCUAAUAAAAGUACAGUAAACCUCAAUUUAAUGAACUAAGGAAGAAGGAAAAGGGAUGGAGGGAUGGCAGGACUAAUGUCUGCUUGCAACAUACAAACGGUCAGAGGUGGAAUAGGAAUGAGAGUUGGUUAAAGUUUUCUUAAGGACUGUAGCCAGGUUGAAUUAGUUUAGGUUAGAGGUGGAAUAGGAAUGAGAGUUGGUUAAAGUUUUCUUAAGGACUGUAGCCAGGUUGAAUUAGUUUAGGUUAGAGGUGGAAUAGGAAUGAGAGUUGGUUAAAGUUUUCUUAAGGACUGUAGCCAGGUUGAAUUAGUUUAGGUCAGAGGUGGAAUAGGAAUGAGAGUUGGUUAAAGUUUUCUUAAGGACUGUAGCCAGGUUGAAUUAGUUUAGGUUAGAGGUGGAAUAGGAAUGAGAGUUGGUUAAAGUUUUCUUAAGGACUGUAGCCAGGUUGAAUUAGUUUAGGUUAGAGGUGGAAUAGGAAUGAGAGUUGGUUAAAGUUUUCUUAAGGACUGUAGCCAGGUUGAAUUAGUUUAGGUUAGAGGUGGAAUAGGAAUGAGAGUUGGUUAAAGUUUUCUUAAGGACUGUAGCCAGGUUGAAUUAGUUUAGGUUAGAGGUGGAAUAGGAAUGAGAGUUGGUUAAAGUUUUCUUAAGGACUGUAGCCAGGUUGAAUUAGUUUAGGUUAGAGGUGGAAUAGGAAUGAGAGUUGGUUAAAGUUUUCUUAAGGACUGUAGCCAGGUUGAAUUAGUUUAGGUUAGAGGUGGAAUAGGAAUGAGAGUUGGUUAAAGUUUUCUUAAGGACUGUAGCCAGGUUGAAUUAGUUUAGGUUAGAGGUGGAAUAGGAAUGAGAGUUGGUUAAAGUUUUCUUAAGGACUGUAGCCAGGUUGAAUUAGUUUAGGUUAGAGGUGGAAUAGGAAUGAGAGUUGGUUAAAGUUUUCUUAAGGACUGUAGCCAGGUUGAAUUAGUUUAGGUUAGAGGUGGAAUAGGAAUGAGAGUUGGUUAAAGUUUUCUUAAGGACUGUAGCCAGGUUGAAUUAGUUUAGGUUAGAGGUGGAAUAGGAAUGAGAGUUGGUUAAAGUUUUCUUAAGGACUGUAGCCAGGUUGAAUUAGUUUAGGUUAGAGGUGGAAUAGGAAUGAGAGUUGGUUAAAGUUUUCUUAAGGACUGUAGCCAGGUUGAAUUAGUUUAGGUUAGAGGUGGAAUAGGAAUGAGAGUUGGUUAAAGUUUUCUUAAGGACUGUAGCCAGGUUGAAUUAGUUUCCUCUCUGAUAAUGCUUCCUAAGUUUGAGUACAUCCAGAGCUGCGAAAAAUGUUAGUAGGAGACCGUGUUAGUAGUCAGAAUAUAUCGGUUAAAUCCAAAAUUUGUUCUUUGAGACAUAAUAUUCAAAAUUAGGAUUAAUGCUAAGUUUUGAAAUAUUAAUAAAUAAUUCUUUGUAAACUAUAUCUUUAAGUUCAUACUUGUAUACAUUCUGUAAAUUUUAUGCCUUGUUAUUUGUAGACAAAAAAAAAUACAUUAUAUAAUUUUGCAUGUUUUACUCAUAAAUCAAUAGAAUUCAUAUAGAAUCUCCAUUUUGUUCCUCUUAAAAAAUACAGCAACUAUAGAUUAAGUUGACCGCAUAGAAGUUGAAUGGUGUGGGUGUGUGCCAUGCUUUACUCUAUUUACUAAUGAAAUAUAAUAAUAGAAGAAGUGUUCUAUUUGUGAGUUGUAUUUAAUUUUUCACAUUUCAGUCUACACAGCUCAUGCAGAAAUAGUUAAUUUUUUAUAUGUAGUCAACAUUUAUAUUGAAAACUAGCAUAUGUUCAGAGUUUAAUCUGGAAAAAGGUAUAAUUUUGCUUAAUGUUGUUGCAAUAUUAAUUUUUUAUCUUAAGUAAACUAUAUAUAUUUUUUUUUUUUAUGAUUGGCAAUUUGUGCAUUAUUUUUUAUUGUAAAAUAUUUGGUCAAAUCAAAAUUACUAUCACUGGAACAUUUGCAAUCAAAUACAUCUAAUUAUUAAUUGAUAUGACUUUGCCAAAAGGAAACCAUUUUUGUUUUAAUUAAUAAUAACAGUACUUUGAUGCAACAGAAAAAAAUAUAAUAAAGUCUGAAAUGAUGAUAAUAAUGGAAAGAUUUUCAAAAGUAGAUAUGAUGAUGCAUUGUAUGAAAAUAAAAUUGUUAAAAUUGUGAUAUGGGUGCUAGCAAACUGUGUAAAAUGCAAAAUUGUUAUCUUAUGAGGUAUUUCCGAAUUUAUGAUAUAUCUGAAAAAAAUCUUCCAGAAUGCCUGUGUAAGGUAAAAAAAAUAUAUUUUGUAAUUAUUAUU
rnacentral:misc_RNA from 1 species